rnacentral:rRNA from 1 species
AUUGAACGCUGGCGGCAGGCCUAACACAUGCAAGUCGAACGAGUGGCGGACGGGUGAGUAAUGUCUGGGAAACUGCCUGAUGGGGGGGGAUAACUCCUGGAAACGGUAGCUAAUACCGCAUACCAUCGGAUGUGCCCAGAUGGGAUUAGCUAGUAGGUGGGGUAACGGCUCACCUAGGCGACGAUCCCUAGCUGGUCUGAGAGGAUGACCAGCCACAAGGGAACGGAGAAACGGUCCAGACUCCGACGGGAGGCAGCAGGGGGGAAUAUGGCACAAUGGGCGCAAGCCUGAUGCAGCCAUGCCGCGUGUAUGAAGAAGGCCGUCGGGUUGUAAAGUAAUUUCAGCGGGGAGGCGUUACCCGCAGAAGAAGCACCGGCUAACUCCGUGCCAGCAGCCGCGGUAAUUC